UACAGAGGUCUCAAGCGUUGUUCGGAUUCAUUGGGCGUAAAGGGUGCGUAGGUGGCGCCAUAAGUCAGGUGUGAAAUCUCGGGGCUUAACUCCGAAACUGCAUUUGAUACUGUGGUGCUUGAGGACUGGAGAGGAGACUGGAAUUCACGGUGUAGCAGUGAAAUGCGUAGAUAUCUGGAGGAACACCGGUGGCGAAGGCGGCAUCCUGGACCGGCAUUGACGCUGAGGCGCGAAAGCCAGGGGAGCAAACGGG
rnacentral:rRNA from 1 species